ACGAUUCGAUAUCGAUUCACGGGGAAAAAACGCGUCAUCGAUCCAAAAACAUGUGGAUCGAUUUUUUUAAAUAAGUGUCUGCACUAUUUUCUUGAACGCGAAAGGGACUAUUUUCUCCAAUGUGCAAGGAGCACUAUAAGAAGCGCUUCCCGGCAAAACGAAACUUAAGGAAAUAUCAAGAUGGACGAAGCUGCAGAUAUAAGAACACCGCGGGGAAUGAAGUCAGAUGUGUGGAAACACUUCGGCUUCAAACGGUAUGGGGACAGAGAUGAGCUGGACAAAAUAAACGCAGUGUGCAAGUUGUGCCAACUAGAAAUAAAAUAUCUGGGCAAUACCACCAACCUUAGGAACCAUAUAUCCAGGCAUCACCCCGAGUUAGCUAGUGCUAAAUUAUCUGACACGAAACAGACUGUACUUGACGCUGCUUUUGGUGUUAAAUUCCCCUCACAGUCUAAGCGUGCUUUGAGCCUUACAGAGGGAGUCGGAAUCUUUAUUUGUAAAGACCUCCGCCCCUACAGCGUAGUCGAAACGAUGGGUUUCGGCUACUAGUAAAAAGGUUAGAGCCACGCUACGUCUUGCCCAGCCGAAAACACCUAAGCGAGAGAGUCAUUCCAGAUAUGUAUGCAAAGUCAAAAGAUGCCGUUGCCAACUCGUUGCACUGUGCUGAGAGAGUAGCGUUGACAUGCGACUGCUGGACAUCUAGAAAUACAAUAUCAUAUCUGACGAUUACGUGCCAUUACAUUGACGAACAAUGGAGGCUAGCUUCUAGUGUUCUACAGACCAGAGCAGUGGAAACGAGCCACACUGCAAGUAACCUCGCUGACCUGCUCACUGAAGCCAUACAGAAAUGGGACAUAUCUGACAAAGACCCCGCAAUUGUUACAGAUAAUGCAGCGAACAUCGUGAGAGCAGUGCAAUUAACGGGGAAUUUUCAUAUGGGGUGUUUUGCGCAUCUCAUCAACUUGGCAUCGCAAGCAGGUCUAAAAACUCCCGCUGCCGCGCGUCUGCUCGGGCGAGUAAGGCGAAUUGUGUCAUUUUUUCACCGAAGCCCCACUGCAAGCCACGCACUAAAGGAGAAGCAACAACUUCUUCAGUUGCCUCAACACAAGCUCGUGGUGGACGUCACGACCAGAUGGAACAGCUCCCUGGAUAUGAUCAAACGCUUCCUUGAGCAGCAGCCUGCCAUCUCGGCAGCGCUGCUUUCACCCGAAGUCCGCAGGAGGGAAAGCGACAUCUGCACCUUAACGGAGACAGACAUCACCACCGCAGAGGACAUGGUGAAAUGCCUCAGCCCAAUGAAGACUGCCACACUCGCCAUCUCUGAGGAAGCAUCUCCAACUAUGCCCAUGGUUGCACCACUGCAGUUCCAACUUCUGAGACAGAUGGCAUUGGAUGGGGGACUCUGCUGUGAUCAAGGAGCUCAAAACAGCUGUUCAUGACAACUUGAGUUCAAGGUAUGUUCAUUUAACAUUUCGUGUUUGUGUACAUGCCUGUUUCAUCUGUAUGCAUUUACUGUAGGCAUAACAUGAUAGUAUAUACAAUGCAUGCAUGUAUGUUCUAUCUAUCUAUCUAUCUAUCUAUCUAUCUAUCUAUUUAUCUAUUUAUCUAAAGUGAUAUUUGUCCCUCUGUAUAGAUAUGAAGCUCUGAUGGAUGCCUUGUGUGUAGCAUCAUCACUGGAUCCGCGUUUUAAGACUCUGCCCUUUCUGUCUGAUGAGGCACGUGAUGCUGUCUUCCUGAAACUGUCCUCUGAAGCUGCUCAUCUGAAGCAAUCAAAUGAUGAAACUACACCAGAGCAAGAAGACACCUCCCCAACUGAUGCGGCGAUGCCUGUACCAACUCAACCAAAGAGGCAAAAACAGUCAUCUGCUCUUAUGGCUUUACUGGGGUCAUCCUACACACCAGAGACUCCACCACAAAGGAAAACUCCCUCUGAAAGGGCUGAGGAAGAGGUCACCAUCUACAGGAAAGUACCCUCUAUUCAUCUCUCUCAAAAUCCACUGACAUGGUGGCAGGUGCAUGCAGAGGAAUUUCCUCUUCUGGCAGGCCUAGCAAAAAGGUAUCUUUGUAUACCCGGGACCAGUGUCCCAUCAGAGAGAGUUUUCUCAACCACUGGUGACAUUGUUAGUGCUCAAAGGAGCUGCCUCACUCCACAGCACGUAGACCAGCUUCUUUUUCUCCAGAAAAAUUUCAAAAUUCCUGAAGACUAGAACUUUUACCUGUGAAACAUAAUUUCUUACUUGCAGUGGUUGUGGACCUACUGCUUUUUUUUGUUUUUUUUAUGGUCAUUGUUGGUUUGUUCUGGUCUUGUUUUACUCCUGCCAGGAGUAUGUUAUUCAACCAAGAGUGCCACCAACUGUCAUGUUACACUCUGAGGCAGAUCAGUUUUUCUGUUCAUUUAAUCCUGCUAUGGGUAUGUUAUUCGACCAAGAGAUGGCCACCCACUGUUAUGGUUAGAUACACUCUGACUUAUCAGUCAAGCACAAUUCCUUGACUGAUGAGCUUUUUUUUUUCUUUGAGGUCAGAAACCCAGCCCUGGGUAUGUUAUUUGACUAAAAGAGGGCCACCAAAUGUCAGUUUUUAUUUAGACUUCAAAUAAAACCUGGAUAUGUUUUCAUUUCAAAAUAAAUAACCUUACUUUCAAAUUUGAAAUCUUGUCUCUCUGUGUGUCCUUCUUACACAUACACAGAUACAAGCACAAACACACAUGGGGCUAUCUUUUAAUAGGGUGAGUUUUUAUUUAAUCCAGCAAUAUUAAUACAAUGAAUCGAUAUCGAAUCGAAUCGGAUCGAAUCGUGGAUCGAAUCGGAUCGGGACCUAAUGAAUCGAAAUCGAAUCGAUCCAGGAAAUCUGGAUCGAUUCCCAGCCCUAUUGCAGACGCUGAGGAGAAUAAAAUCCCACCAAAACAGAAGAGACGCAGACUGCAACCAGCAGAAGAUGGAGCAUCUUCUGGAGUCAGUGCUGUGAGGCAUUCUUCCAAAGGUAAGACUCCACACAAAAGGAAUCCAUGGCAGCCAGCAGAGGUAAAGGCAGUCGAGAAGCACAUGAAGGCAUUAAUCCGUGGUUGCAUUGUGCCAUCAAAAAGCGAUUGCGAAAAGUGUUUAAGAGCAGAGCCUGAAGCUCUCAAGAACAGAGACUGGCAAAACGUGAAGUUUUUUGUUUACAACCGUAUUACCGCCUACAAACGGAAGAUGUCGCUAAAGUAGGUUGGACAUGUCCUGUUUCUUUCAGGUGUUGUAAGCAAUAUAACUGGCUGAGUGAUGUCUAGUUCUAAUGCAUACCUCCAAGUUUCUUUCAAGUGUUGUUAGCAGUAUAAUUUGCUGACUGAUGUUUAGUUCUAAUGCAUACUGCCACAUUUCUUUCAGGUGUUGUCAGUGAUAUAAUUGGUUGACUGAUGUUUAGUCAUAAUGCAUACUGCCAAGUCUUUUCUUUGUCAUUGAAUAAGCAGUUUAUUUUGUUUCUUAGUCAGUGUUACUUUAUUGCAGCAUUGCUGGAAUAAAAAAGUUGAGUCAUACAAUUCAA